GUGUAUGGCCAUAGCACCCUGAAUGCCCCUGUCUGAUCUCAGAAGCUGAGGAGGGUCGGACCUGGUUAAUACUUGGAUGGGAGACCGCCUGGGAAUACUGGGUGCCAUAGGCU
rnacentral:rRNA from 1 species